rnacentral:rRNA from 1 species
CAGGUCACUCCUACGGGAGGCAGCAGUAGGGAAUCUUGCGCAAUGGGCGAAAGCCUGACGCAGCCAUGCCGCGUGAAUGAUGAAGGUCUUAGGAUUGUAAAAUUCUUUCACCGGGGAAGAUAAUGACGGUACCCGGAGAAGAAGCCCCGGCUAACUUCGUGCCAGCAGCCGCGGUAAUACGAAGGGGGCUAGCGUUGCUCGGAAUUACUGGGCGUAAAGGGCGCGUAGGCGGAUACUUAAGUUGGGGGUGAAAGCCCGGGGCUCAACCUCGGAAUUGCCUUCAAUACUGGGUAUCUUGAGUUCGGGAGAGGUGAGUGGAAUGCCGAGUGUAGAGGUGAAAUUCGUAGAUAUUCGGCGGAACACCAGUGGCGAAGGCGACUCACUGGCCCGAUACUGACGCUGAGGCGCGAAAGCGUGGGGAGCAAACAGGAUUAGAUACCCUGGUAGUCCACGCUGUAAACGAUGAGUGCUAGUUGUCGGCAUGCAUGCAUGUCGGUGACGCAGCUAACGCAUUAAGCACUCCGCCUGGGGAGUACGGUCGCAAGGCUGAAACUUAAAGGAAUUGACG